UCUCUGCAUGGCUGAGCACAUUAUUGUACAGUCCCAGCCACUACAGUCAUGUCUGGUGUGACUUCAAAGACUCUCCUCUGAAACUGGGACAGAGCUCUCUGUUGCUGCUCCAGCCCUUUCCAUCUGCCUUUUUGUUCUCCAUCACAGCUGUGGCCUGUCCUCAUAUGUGAAAUAACAAAUUCAAUUUUGUCUUACUUGCUGUGAAGCCUUGAAGAAAUGACUCAGUCCAUGCAAACCACCAACUCUCCCACUUAUCCUCCUGUGAAAGAAAAUUUAUUUUAGUUGAACUGGGUGAUUACAGUCAAGGAGGAGAAACAUUUGCCUUUUUGAGCAGAGAAGUCAAAGAACCCUCAGUGAUGAGCAUUCUGCAGGCUUUACUUAGCUGAUGUCUGUAUGGAUGAACACAUGAGAAGGAAAGACCAGGAAGCUAAGCUCAGAGGACUUCUGGACCUAACACCAAUGGAACAGAGGGUUUCUUGUACCAUUCUGUGUUUCUACACAUUAACUCCAGACAGUGCUUCUGGUUGCACCUACAAAAUAUUUCAGCUCUGUGCUGGGUAGAGUGAAAUGAAGGUGUGCUGAAAUACGAAAGGAGUGAAAGUCACUAAAAAGAUUCGUGGGACAAAACUCAUGUACUGCUGACUCCAUUUUAGCUGUAAUCUUUUCACUCUUUCUCAGGAAUGGUGCAAUUAUGGUUUG